AGCUAGCUUCGGUGAACAGAACUCUUCUCCUCUCAAACUCUCCAUCGCCCUCAUUCUGUACCACACACCACUCACGAACUCAUCUCUCGAACUCUCCAUCGCCCUCACAACUCACAAUCUCACUCAAUCGUUACCAUCACGUCUCUCGUCCUCAACCUUCCUCAAUCAAUCCGUCCCCCAUCGCUCUCGCGUACCACACAAUCUCUCUCACUCUAAAAUGCAAGGGUCCAAGGUUUUUUUAAGGAGAAACAAGAAGAAAGAGGCCCACCUUUGGCGAAAACGACGGAGACGAUGAAGCCUAAAACUCACUCCUACGCCUCUUCAAACCAGAUUAGGGUUACAAAGGUCUUCCAAAGGUUCCAAUGGAGAAAAACUCCAAAAGCGCUUUUUGUCUGCUCAGAAACAAAAUUAUCUUGUUUUAUGCUACAAUCCGGAACCGUGAAAAAAAAAUGUUGAAGAUUCAAAGGCGGUUUCGGUUCCGGCUCCGGUUCAACAGUCUGAUGGAUGAUAGCUUCAAUUGUGUACUGGUUUAGAUUUGUUGCUGCAGGAUGUGAGCUUUCUGUUGAAUAUUAUGAUAAGGCAUAAAUUGUUGUGGACCAGGGGCACUACCAGCAGGCAUGGAUUGAGUUGGUCUCAUGGUUGGAUUCUGCUGGGAAGGAAGAUAUUGUGAUUUGCAACAGAACCUGGCAAUCCCUGUGAUUGAGGUGGUCUUGUGUUAGCAUUCUGUUGGGAAGGAAGAUAUUGUGGGUUCACAGCAGAACCUGUUAACCCCUGUCCUCUGUAGGCAAGAUUUUGAGUAGACGUGGGUGCGGCAUUCACACCCAUGAUUAUGCACGGCACUUUGUUAGUGCAUGAACUCGCAUUCUCGGACUUGAGGCAACACCAGAAGAGGUUGAGGAUCAAGAGAAACUGGCUCGAGUUGAAGAAAGAUUUAAAGGCAGAAAGGAACGGCUUCGGCAACACAAAAUCAGAAAUUGCAAUUACAUCCAAUUUUGGCAAGGUGUAAGGAGUGUCGAAGUGAUCCUUGUAUAGUCCCAAAGUUUCCACAGCAACAUCAAGUGCAAAUUCCCCUUGGUUUGCCUUGCAGACUUGACAAUACACUCGGACUUUGACCCCGUCGGGAGUAUGAUCUUCCACGUUAUCAAACAAACCAACGACGACAGCAACCAAAUAUGUUGACAUGAUUGGUGAUUCUUGAUACGAAACAGUUUUGAGAUUGUCAUUAAUUUUUCUUCAGCAACUGGUAUGUUGGAAAGAGCAACAGGGUCGGAAGGCACAUCCAAUGUAAUCUUGAAAGUGGCCUUGCAAGCAGGUUCAUCCCAACAAGGAAAGCAUCGUCUGGCAUCCGCUGGUUCAAACUGUGCAACCGCCAUAUUCCUCUUCUCACCAUUAUGCUUGUAUUGGCUUCUGUAAAAACCUUUCGUCCCAUCAUUCAAUAUUCCUUCAAACUGAAUAUUCAAUACACCCAAUCCAAAAGGUACUAAUGGAUGCAGGACUAAUCCAUAGCCAUUUCCUGCAGGAUAAUGAUGGUGUGAUGCUGUUGCAAAGCAAGAUGACAUAAGCUGCGACAACAAUAGUGGUUAAACUGUCAUGGAGUUCCUUGACCAACGGUUAGGGAAUUGGGUGGUGGAAGUGAACCUGACAUGGGCAAUGCUACUUGUGAAUGAGGGAAACAUGAUGGAAGCAAGCUAACGUGCACCUUGGAGGAUAAAUCAUGACUCAUGGGGAAUUCUUUUGGACAUUCCAUUUGUUUGUUGUUUUUUUUUGUUGGAUGAUGGAUUAUCAUCAUGCUGUUGUUGGAUCCCCUUUUUUUUUAAUGAACUAUUGGAAUGCUUGGAUUUGUAUAUGAGUUAAUCAUUGUAAGCAUGUGUGGGCUAUAGUUUGGAUGUAGUUUGGAACCAAAUCAAUGCAGUGUAAAGCAUGUAAGACAUGAUUGGAAUUGUAUGGAAAUGUGAAAUGGUGCAAAUGUACUUGAAAUGUUAUUUUGUAAUUUGAUUUUGAAUGAAAUGGGAAAUGUAUGAUUAUAUGAUA